UACGGAGACUGCAAGCGUUAUCCGGAAUCACUGGGUUUAAAGGGUGCGUAGGCGGUUAGAUAAGUCAGAGGUGAAAGCUCACAGCUUAACUGUGGAAUUGCCUUUGAUACUGUUAGACUUGAAAUUGGAUGAGGUUAGCGGAAUGAGUCAUGUAGCGGUGAAAUGCAUAGAUAUGACUUAGAACACCAAUUGCGAAGGCAGCUGACUGGUCCAUAUUUGACACUGAGGCACGAAAGCGUGGGUAGCGAAAGGG
rnacentral:rRNA from 1 species